UAAUCCCGGCACAGACUUUUCCGUUGGAGGGCUGAUGUUGUGGGAAUAAAGGAUCUCGAACUUAGUUCCACAUCGGCUAGGUAGCGAAAAUGUCUGUACCUUGAAUGGAGGGAAAAAUUCUUUUCUUGCGAGGCGCUUUUUAUAGGGCAAAACUAUCUCAGGACGCCAUAGGAACUCUAAAGCGGAUAAUGGAAGCAACCGUUUUUCUGCCUACAACCGGUUGGGACUGAGAUGUGAGGUUAGGGGAUACCUUCGACCUCAUCAUGUCUGGGCUUGAUUACGGGCAUGAAACUUGGAGCCCCCUGAGAUAAGCAUGUCUGGUGGGAGCAGAUCAAGCGCUGAGCGACAACCUGCAGUGGCCGGAGGAAAAGGUUGGUCAUGUGAGGAUCGUACCCUCUAAAAGAGGAUAAAAGGACCCUGCCGAUCUAGCCAGCUCAUCGAACAACACUUGGGUCCCGUCAUCGAACGAAACCUUGAUCGGCUCGCGGUGGUGGGACCCAUGCAGUUGUGCGCUGUGGGGUACAUGGAAUAUUUCGGACGAU
rnacentral:lncRNA from 1 species